UACGUAGGGUCCGAGCGUUGUCCGGAUUUAUUGGGCGUAAAGAGCGUGUAGGCGGCCGGGUAAGUCCGGUGUGAAAACUCGAGGCUUAACCUCGAGAUGUCAUCGGAAACUAUUCGGCUAGAGUCCGGAAGAGGAGAGUGGAAUUCCCGGUGUAGACGGUGAAAUGCGGCGAGAUAUCGGGAAGGAACACCCGUGGCGAAGGCGGCUCUCUGGGACGGUACUGGACGCAUGAGACG
rnacentral:rRNA from 1 species